rnacentral:rRNA from 1 species
GAUGAACGCUGGCGGCGUGCUUAACACAUGCAAGUCGAACGGAAAGGCCCAAGCUUGCUUGGGUACUCGAGUGGCGAACGGGUGAGUAACACGUGGGUGAUCUGCCCUGCACUUCGGGAUAAGCCUGGGAAACUGGGUCUAAUACCGGAUAGGACCACAUUUUGGAUGGUGUGGUGGAAAGUUUUUCGGUGUGGGAUGAGCUCGCGGCCUAUCAGCUUGUUGGUGGGGUAAUGGCCUACCAAGGCGUCGACGGGUAGCCGGCCUGAGAGGGUGUACGGCCACAUUGGGACUGAGAUACGGCCCAGACUCCUACGGGAGGCAGCAGUGGGGAAUAUUGCACAAUGGGCGCAAGCCUGAUGCAGCGACGCCGCGUGGGGGAUGACGGCCUUCGGGUUGUAACCUCCUUUCGCUAGGGACGAAGCGCAAGUGACGGUACCUGGUGAAGAAGCACCGGCUAACUACGUG